CCAGCUGGCUUCACCCAGUGGAUCCCUUACCGGGGCUGCAGGUGGAGCUGCCUGCCAGUCCAGGUGCCUUGCGCCCGCACUCCUCAGCCCUUGGGUGGUCGAUGGGACUGGGCGCCGUGGAGCAGGGGGUGGCGCUCCUCGGGGAGGCUCGGGCCGCCCAGGAGCCCCAUGGAGGGGGUGGGAGGCUCAGGCAUGGCGGGCUGCAAGUCCCGAGUCCUGCCCCGCGGGAAGGCAGCUAAGGCCCAGUGAGAAAUUGAGCGCAGCGCCAGGUGGGCUGGCACUGCUGGGUGACCCAGUACACCCUCCGCAGCCGCUGGCCCGGGUGCUAAGCCCCUCAUUGCCCGUGGCCUGCAGGGCAGGCCGGCUGCUCAGAGUGCGCGGCCCGCCAAGGCCACGCCCACCCGGAACUCCAGCUGGCCCGCAAGCGCCGCGCGCAGCCCCGGUUCCGGCUGGCGCCUCUCCCGCCACACCUCCCUGCAAGCUGAGGGAGCCGGCUCUGACCUUGGCCAGCCCAAGCAGAGGAGGCGCCGAGAGCGAGUGAGGGCUGUGAGAACUGCCAGCACGCUGUCACCUCUCACUGGGAUUACAAGCGUGAGCCACCGCGGCCAGUCAGUGCUAUCUUUUAAAGAUUUUUUUAUUUUUGUUUUUGUUUUUUUUUUCAGUCAAUAAACUUGGACUUUGCACCUUUAACUAACUUGAUACAGCUCCAGACAAAGCUAAGAGUCUAGAUAAGCAGUCAGUCCAGUUGUGGAUUGUGUCAGAAAAAUGACUUUGGCAACUCAUGUAGAGACUAUGCUCAGGUUCCCGUGUCCAUAAAAAUUGGUAUAAUAACACUCAUUCCCCUUUUAUUUUGCAGACAUCAUAAAGAUGAAUAAGAUAAUUAAAGGAACCCAAAUAUAUGGGCAUAAACAUAUAAACCUGAGGUAGGACUAUUAUUAUAAUGAUGUUAAACAAUGAGCAUAUUCAAAAGCUAAGUAAUUAAUACAAACUGUCCAAGACCAUUUUUAAAUAUUGCAUGCAUAUGGAAAUUUGGAAAGCAAGAAGGAAUCACAAGCUGGGCCACUGGGAAAGUUCGAGAGCCCUAAUCCUGCCAGAGGCACUGCAGGGUGUAGUCACUUUCAGCACUCCUGUCUGACAACUCCCAGGAAUUAGUAAAUAAGCUGAAAAUGUGAAGUCAUGCAAAGAUUUGUUUGAAAAGCAAAACGUUUCAAUAAAAGGUCUUCCUGGAUUAAGAAUCUAAGUAUGAUUUUCAUGAACCACCACCACUAAAGAUCAGAUAAUAUUAUUCAUGCUGCAAUUUGAAAGAGAAGCAAGAGGAAGAUCAGACCGACUCUGCCACUGCAUAAAAUCAUCCCCCUGGGAAUGAACAAAGCAUUCCGAGAAUGAGAAAUGGAAUAUUGGUGACUUCCUGGCUAACAGUUCCAUCUAGAGUCAACUGCGGUCAUGAUUUUCCAAUAACAGCCUGUUACUAAACCAAGAGAGGGAACCAACAAUGCCUGAGAAGAUUUGCAAGAACUUUGCCCAGCUGAGGCCCUUAAUGGAUGCAAUGAGGACAACUAACUCAAUCAAAUUCUCUUUUUGAAAGAAGAAUAAACUCUAAGUAAAGGGAAAGGUAUGUUUCUUGGUUUUAGGAUAUUGUCUCUACUCAUAAAUUAAAAAAAAAUCUUGGCCGGGUGCGGUGGCUCACGCCUGUAAUCCCAGCACUUGGGGAGGCCGAGGCGGGCGGAUCACGAGGUCAGGAGAUCGAGACCAUCCUGGCUAACACGGUGAAACCCCGUUUCUACUAAAAAUACAAAAAAUUAGCCAGGCAUGGUGGCAGGCGCUUGUAGUCCCAGCUACUCGGGAGGCUGAGGCCGGAGAAUGACGUGAACCAGGGAGGCGGAGCUUGCAGUGAGCCGGGAUCGGGCCACUGCACUCCAGCCUGGGUGACAGAGCGAGACUCCGUCUCAAAAAAAAAAAAAAAAUCUCUCUGACCAUUCCUUUAAGUUGCAGAUUUUUGAAACUUCCAGUCCUAUGUAAUGACCAAAGCUUUGAAGUUGACUUAAAUCUUUUCCUUUGCCUUCCAG
rnacentral:lncRNA from 1 species